rnacentral:rRNA from 1 species
GGGUUAAGUCCCGUAACGAGCGCAACCCUUGUCCUUAGUUACCAGCACGUUAUGUGGGCACUCUAAGGAGACUGCCGGUAGGACAAACCGGAGGAAGGUGGGGAUGACGUCAAGUCAUCAUGGCCCUUACGGCCUGGGCUACACACGUGCUACAAUGGUCGGUACAAAGGGUUGCCAAGCCGCGAGGUGGAGCUAAUCCCAUAAAACCGAUCGUAGUCCGGAUCGCAGUCUGCAACUCGACUGCGUGAAGUCGGAAUCGCUAGUAAUCGUGAAUCAGAAUGUCACGGUGAAUACGUUCCCGGGCCUU